GAUUUUUUUCUUAAUUAUAGUUUUGUGUUUGUGUGUUUACAUAUGUGUGUGUAUGCAUGUAUUAUGUGUGGAUGCACAUAUACAUGUAUGUAUGUGGAGGCUAGAAAUUGACAUCAGGUGUCUUCCUCAAUCUCUCUCCAUUUUUAGUUUUUGAGAUGGGUGUGUGUCUCAUUUAACCUGCAAGCUCCAGGAAUCCUCCUGUCUCCACCUCCCCAAUGCUAAGGUUAUAGGUGCUUUCUGAAUGCCUCUCCUUUUAUGUGGAUGCUAGGAAUUUGAAAAGAUCUUAAUACUUGCAUGCCUCAUUAUUGACUGAGCCAUCCCUUCAGCCCUAUAAUGCUUUUAUAAUCAGAAUACAGAAAACUGAUAGAGACUCAUAGCCUUUAUAAUUAAAAAAACUAUCCCGGAUAUGAUUUGUUUUAAAAUUAGUAUAUUUUAAUUGUACCAGGGGUCUGAGUUAUGACAUUUCUGUAUGUGCACAUGAUCUGCUUUGAUCAUUUUCCUCCCUUCUGUUGUUUCCCCCACCUUUGUCAGCCCUGCCUCUCUUUUCUACUUCUGCAUUUCUAACAGUCCCCCUUUACUUUCAUGUACUGGUUUAUUUUUUUAAUUAAACAUUCAGGUUUCUUUCUUUCUUUCUUUUCUUUUUAAAAAUUUUUUGAGAUAGGGUCCUUAAAUUCACUAUGUAACAAUCAUUCUACUGCCUCUGCCUCCUGAGUACUGAAUUACAGGUAGGCAAGGACUGUCCAUCUUAUUAAUCAACUUUUUCAUCGGCUGACUAGCUCGUGUUUUCUAAUUAAAGAGCAAAUUUGAAAGAACAAAUAAUUAGUAGUAUUAACUAUAGCUAAACAAAUAGUUGGACACAACUAGUUAAUAUGGUAAAACAAGAAAAAUGAUGAUUAAUAAGGUUGGGAAAGCUGAAUAAACUAAGGCAAGAGAUUUAAAGACGUGCCCUAAUAAUAUAAGAAAGGGCAAAUUUGGAAAAUUGCAGAUGGACUUGGAAAGUUGCAGUCAGGGAUAUGUGAACUAAUGGGAACUCACUGCUGCUUAUCUCACCAAUCUAAGGAACAAGUAGAUGCUAAUUCUAUUUUCUAACCAAGUUGAUGAACAGGGAAACAACUUUGAAUCUGAGACCAAGAUACAACUUUAUUAUUUCGCUGUAAAAAUAAUUGUUCCCAAAUAGUUAGCAUUGUCUCAGAGAUUACUGUGAGCUGUAUAGUUUGCAAUAUUUAUAGAUGAUUAAUAUAAAGCUUGAAAGAGCACUGCAAACUUGUAUUGUUGUCUUAGUUUAUAAAAUGGGAGUUCACUGUUUUAAAGCUAAGAGAGAUCCCAUUCUGUUCAGUCUAAAGCUAGUGAGGUGGAGAUAAAAGCAAAAUAGUCAGUUCUCUCGUAGACUGCCACUUUGUAGAAAACAGCAGAAAGAGAUUAGUAAUAACUUCUCAGGCCUUCUAGGUAGCUUUUAAGAAGGAAGAAAGAACUCAGAAGAUUACAGUUAAGUUCAGCCACCUGUAUGUCCUUAUUUGGCAAAAUAUCUUCAAGUAAAGAACAGAUUAAAGGAGAAAAGAAG
rnacentral:lncRNA from 1 species